AUUUCAGCUUGUUCCGUGUCUGGAUCUGCUCCUGCACCCGGGCAGACAAUGAGAUUCCUGCCACUGCCCGCAUCCCCCUUGCCUGGGCUCUUCCUGGGAAUUUAGUGACCUGAAUUUAAUGAAGCCCGGUGUAUCUUGGAGAGCUUACACGCCUGGGAUGGGAAAGAUGUACCCGCCGAUGAACUCGUGCACCACUUUGCAAUCCACCUCCGUGCAGAUGAAGGACACCCGGACGUCGUCCGCGAACUCCACCGUCACCUGGAGCGCGAGAGCACAGCGUCAGCCCCCCCGGCCUUCCCAAGGGAACUGCUGCCUCCUUUCUCCCUGAUUUUUCUGUCUACUCAGGGUCACACUCUACUCCACCAGCAGCUGGGACAAGCUCUGCUUGAUCUCCAAGGAGGGUGGAAGAGGAGGGAGGAAAAACUGUAUUACAUCAAUAUAGUAACAUCCACACCUGGAGCAAUGUGUCCAGCUCAAGAAAGACAUGGAGCUGCUGGAGCAAGUCCAGAGGAGGUCAUGGAGA